rnacentral:miRNA from 1 species
UUAUCAGACUUGUCACAAGGUUGUUCUAACAAGUCUAAUACAGUCAUGAUAUAACAAGAAUGUUACAAGGUUGACGACACAAGGUUGUAACAAUACUGCUAUAUCAUGACUGUAUCGGACUUGUUGGAACAACCUUGUAACAAGUCUGAUAA